GGGUUCGUGGUCUAGGUUGGUUAUGACACCUCCUUGACAUGGAGGAGGUCGGCGGUUCAAAUCCGCCCGAACCCA
rnacentral:tRNA from 1 species